rnacentral:misc_RNA from 1 species
UUUGCAAACAAGUUUAUUCUCCGGCGGCGCGGCGCGUUUUGGAUCGACUUUGUGUUCUAGUUGUGUUCAAAUUGUGUUUGAUAAACAAUAAUUCUCAGCAAAUUCCAAUCCAAUGGAGAAACGUGAAGAAGAGUACGAAACUCUUUGGGAGUUCUUAAGGAAAAUUAAAAUGGAAUCUGUGUUUGAGGACUUGAAAGAUUUUUGGAGCCUUGGAAGUGCAUCCUCUAUUCUUUGGCCGCAAUGGAAUUCCAAGGCAUUUGCAUAACGAUCUAUACUAAAUAAGUUUUCACACCAUUACAAAGUACAUUAAAUCAUAAUUAAUCUCAUAAAUGCUUUAAGAAUAUCUGUAGAAAUUUUUGUACACUAAGGAAAAUCUAAAUAAAUAUUUUUUUAUGGGAGGGGUGGAUCCUUCUCAUUGUUACAUAGCA